rnacentral:rRNA from 1 species
AGUAAAAAGUGUAACAAGGUUUCCGUAGGUGWACCUGCGGAAGGAUCAU